rnacentral:rRNA from 1 species
UGGGGAAUUUUGCACAAUGGGCGCAAGCCUGAUGCAGCGACGCCACGUGAGGGAUGAAGGCUUUCGGGUUGUAAACCUUUUUCGCUCAUGGUCAAGCCGCAGCUUUGGGUUGUGGUGAGGGUAGUGGGUAAAGAAGCGCCGGCUAACUACGUGCCAGCAGCCGCGGUAAUACGUAGGGCGCGAGCGUUGUCCGGAAUUAUUGGGCGUAAAGGGCUUGUAGGCGGUUGGCCGCGUCUGCCGUGAAAUCCUCUGGCUUAACUGGGGGCGUGCGGUGGGUACGGGUUGACUUGAGUGCGGUAGGGGAGACUGGAAUUCCUGGUGUAGCGAUGGAAUGCGCAGAUAUCAGGGGGAACACCGGUGGCGAAGGCGGGUCUCUGGGCCGUUACUGACGCUGAGGAGCGAAAGCGUGGGGAGCGAACAGG